rnacentral:misc_RNA from 1 species
AAGUCGUAACAAGGUUUCCGUAGGUGAACCUGCGGAAGGAUCAUUAUUACGUAUCCACGUAUCAAACCAAAUCGUGAACUGUUUCCCGUCUGAUGAGGAUUUCUGCGAGUGUUUGAACAUUUAUUAAAUGCAUGGUGAGGACUCCUAGUCGCAAGACUGGUUUCUUCGAAAUGGUACUCGGUCCUGGUUGCCCUCUCGGGGCUUCAGCCAGCUCAUUAGAUGUGGUUGAAUUUCAAUCACUAUGCUAAAACUAUUAACCCCUUGUAAAACACUUGAACUAAAUUACGGAGACAAGACCCUUAACCAGGAAACUAUCUCUGAUAAACCGAAACUUAAGAAACAACUCUUAACAACGGAUAUCUUGGUUCUC